AAAACAGUGUUUAAAACCAUGAGAUAAAUUGUGAAUAACCAGAUAAUUUCAGCCCACUUCAAGGAUCCCACCUCAAAUCCCAGAUGACAGUGUGGAACUUCAUUUCUCCUUCCUCAAACAGUGACUAUCUUCAGAAAGAAAGAAUCAUCCCAGAUCUUGCUUCUUUCUUCUCCUUGAGCAGAAACUGAAACCCAGAAAUUUCAGCCUGAAUAUAAGGAGGAGCUUUUCUAGUGUGAGAGUGAC